rnacentral:rRNA from 1 species
UACGGGGGGGGUAAGCGUUGUUCGGAAUUACUGGGCGUAAAGGGCUCGUAGGCGGCCAACUAAGUCAGACGUGAAAUCCCUCAGCUUAACUGGGGAACUGCGUCUGAUACUGGAUGGCUUGGAUUCGGGAGAGGAAUGCGGAAUUCCAGGUGUAGCGGUGAAAUGCGUAGAUAUUGGGAGGAACACCAGUGGCGAAGGCGGCUCACUGGACCGGAACUGACGCUGAGGCGCGAAAGCGUGGGGAGCAAACAGG